UAUUUUUUUUUGUAUCUUUUAUACACUUUUAUAUAAAAUUAUGAAUAAAAGUGUUUAUUUUCAGUUUGAUAACAAAUCUGCGUGUUAAAUUAAAAUAUACAGAUAUGUAAUAAUACAGCGAUAAGAGCUUCUUAUGAAGGUAAGAAAGGAUAAUACACCAAGAAAAAUGGAAAUAAAAGAUUUCUUUUGGGAAGAUGUGUCCUUGCGUAGAAUUUUAUAAGAAAACCUCACCGAUUGUACAUUGCAUUUCAAAUGAAAGUAUGUGAUAAAAAAGAGUAAAGUUGGAGCAGCAAGAUUGUCGCCUUCAAAUCAUUCCUACAAAUACCUCCUUAGAAAAUUAUACUCUCGAACAUUCAAAUCCAUGGACUCUAUGCUGUCCCUCCCGAACCUGCUUUCUUCUUUGAUAUAAAGAUAAUUUAAAUCUUAAUGGUUGUUCUACACUGUUAGGGAAAUGUAUUCUUGUUAUAAAGAGAUGCAGUGUAUAAGAAAUAUGUGCAAGUUGCUGGAAAUAUGAACAUCCGGUGUUAAUCAGUAAUAAUACAAAUUCUAUAAUUCAUUUUAUAAUUUCAGAUUUAUCUUGAUCAAAAAUUAAGGUAAGAAGGAUAAUGGAGAUUGUGAAGGUAAGGUAUUAUGAUUGUAAUCGGAAUUGUAAGUAAUAUAAUAUUGUAAUAAUAAUAUACUAUAUUUAUUUAUAUAUUUUUACAUUUGAAUUAAAAAUUAUCAUUUACAGAUUUUUUCUUAUUGGUUUUAAACCUAUUAGAAUCAUUUAGUAUCAUCAAUAUGACACCUUAUUUAUUACAUCCAAGUUGUUUAAUUUCUAGUUAUUUACAGCUAACAAUAGUAACAAUAUAGCUAGUGGUUUUAUUAACAUUUUUGACGUUGCUGCUAACAAAUUAUGGCACACUCUAGAGAGUCACGCUAUGCCAUAUGCCAAUAAGGUCUCUGUGUUUUUCUCCAGACAAUCAGCUAUUAUUAACAGCCUCUGACGAUGGGCAUAUGAAAUUAUAUGAUGUAAAACAGACCCAUGUAAUUGGAACAAUAUCUGGUCAUGCCUCUUGGGUUUUAAAUGUGGCAUUUUCACCAGAUGGAAAGUACUUUGUGUCUGCCAGUUCAGAUAAGACGGUUAGAGUAUAGGAGGUUUAAAGCCGACAGUGUAUUCACACCUUUUUUUUUAAAUAUAAUAUUUUAUUAAAAAAACCUAAAUUUUUAGGGAUAUAACCAUUUUUAAAUAAGAUUUGUUUUUUAAUAAUGAUAUUUUAUCUAAAAAAAACAUUGCACGUUUGGGGUAUAAAAUUCAGUUCCGGAUAACUCGAAAAUUUUAUCAGUUUCAGAAGACAAAAGUAUUGUAAUAUAUAGUUGUCCUAAGUAAUAAAUGCUUUUUAUCCUAAUUUGUACUUAUUAAUAUAUUUUUUCUUGUUAAUAAAGGAUUUUUCAGCUUAAUUAAAUUUCAAAUUUGAAAAUUGUGACGCCAAAAGUUGAACAGAUACAUCCGGUAAGAGCUGUCAACGUUGAGUCAAGUUAAAGACUUGUGAAGUUAUUUUUUAUAUAAUUUAUCUCAUAUUUCUUACUAUUUAACUAUAUAGAAUUAGUUUCAUAUUAAACUAAGGGAUAUUUAUUGAAUAAAAACACUUGUUCCUUAAUGAUUUAUUAAAAUAUUAAAGAAAUGCAUGAUUUUAUAGUUCAUCUAAUUAUGGGCGUACUCAAAGAAAAAUUAUAAUAUUCUUUGGCGGCGUACCAGAUAAUUUCAAUAUAAAAUAAGUUCUGUAUGAUAUUUUAUACUGGAGGGAAUAAAUACAAAUAAACACAAAUCAUUUAGUUAAUUCAAGAAGCAUAUUCUACUGAAAUUUUAAUAAAAACCUUAUAAAAACCAUCCAUGUUUAUUAAAAAAAGUUAAAAUCGAGGCAUCCAAGAGCAAAAAAUCCACGAUCGUGAUUGGUCAGUUUCGGUGGCGUGGAGGUUUUGAAUUUUAUUCUCGUUCGAUGUUGCCGGAUGGUUAAAAAAUGUCAAAAAUCUUUUUUUCUAUGUGAUUUUUGUGAAAUUAUAUUAGUUUAAAUUGAUCACUAGCACUAUAGUAAGGGCCAUUUCUAUAUAUUUUUAAUAAAACAAGUACCAGUAAUGUUGCUUUGUAGAAAUUUCUUUUAUUCUUAUUAAUUACGUACUAACAUUAUAGUCUUUAUUCUUGGUUUCGAUGUAUUUAUAGCAUUAAAAAUGUAUUUAAACAGCUUCAU
rnacentral:lncRNA from 1 species